ACACGACUACAUUAGAUACCCGGGUAGUCCCAGCCCUAAACGAUGCGCGUUAGGUGUAUCGGUGACCACGAGUCACCGAGGUGCCGAAGGGAAACCGUGAAACGUGCCGCCUGGGAAGUACGGUCGCAAGGCUGAAACUUAAAGGAAUUGGCGGGGGAGCACCACAACGGGUGGAGCUUGCGGUUUAAUUGGAUUCAACGCCGGAAAUCUUACCGGGACCGACAGCAACAUGAAGGCCAGGCUGAAGACUUUGCCGGAUUAGCUG
rnacentral:rRNA from 1 species